rnacentral:rRNA from 1 species
UACAGAGGUGGCAAGCGUUGUUCGGAAUUACUGGGCGUAAAGGGCGCGUAGGCGGCACCGCAAGUCGACUGUGAAAAUCUCCGGGCUUAACCCGGAAAGGUCAGCCGAUACUGCGGGGCUAGAGUGCAGAAGGGGCAACUGGAAUUCUCGGUGUAGCGGUGAAAUGCGUAGAUAUCGAGAGGAACACCUGCGGCGAAGGCGGGUUGCUGGGCUGACACUGACGCUGAUGCGCGAAAGCUAGGGGAGCGAACGGG